AGUUUAAAAAGCGUUUGGCUUAUCAUCAUUAUCAAACACGGCAACGAUAGGCAGGCCAAGGUAGACCAACAUGAUCGGCAACAACCAAAUUUCAAAAACAACCUCGCAGUGAUCAAGACGACACUUCACAACGAUAUCAAGCCAAUUAGCUGCAAUGCCGACAAAGAAUGGAGCAGUAAAUAACAGGUGUAUCGUAAUUAUUGAAAGAAUGGGCGAGCCGUGCUACCUCAGGUUUCACUACGACGACACACACAGCUGGGAAUCAUCGGCUAUGAGAGUGAUCAUGGAAAGAAUGUACAACCGUGAGCAUGGACUUUACGAGCUCUUUAACGAAAAUUAAGUUUUUAUUUUGUCAUCAUUGAAAAGGAUUAGAUUAAAUGUACAAUCC